rnacentral:rRNA from 1 species
UACAGAGGUCCCAAGCGUUGUUCGGAUUCACUGGGCGUAAAGGGUGCGUAGGCGGUCGGGUAAGUCUGAUGUGAAAUCUCCAAGCCUAACUUGGAAACUGCAUUGGAUACUAUCCGGCUAGAGGAAUGGAGGGGAGACUGGAAUACUUGGUGUAGCAGUGAAAUGCGUAGAUAUCAAGUGGAACACCAGUGGCGAAAGCGGCUUCCUGGUCCAGCACCGACGUUCAGGCACGAAAGCGUGGGGAGCAAACAGG